UACGUAAGUGGCGAGCGUUAUCCGGAAUCACUGGGUGUAAAGGGUGUGUAGGCGGCGAUGUAAGAUUCAUAUAUAAUGACAGGGCUCAACCCUGUUUUUGUGUGAAAGACUGCAUUGCUGGAGUGACGAAGAGGAAACUAGAACUCCAGGUGUAGCGGUGAAAUGUGUAGAUAUCUGGGGGAAUACCAAUGGCGAAGGCAGGUUUCUGGUUGUCAACUGACGCUGAGACACGAAAGCGUGGGGAUCAAACGGGAUUAGAUACCCCGGUAGUCCACGCAGUAAACGAUGUUCACUAGGUGUAGGAGGUAUCGACCCCUUCUGUGCCGAAGCCAACGCAUUAAGUGAACCACCUGGGGAAUACGAUCGCAAGAUUAAA
rnacentral:rRNA from 1 species